rnacentral:rRNA from 1 species
GUCUAUGGCCAUGCUACCCUGAACAAGCCAGAUCCUGUCUAAUCUCAGAAGCUAAGCAGGGUUGGACCUGGUUAGUAUUUGGAUGGAAGACCACCUAGGAAGAUCAGGUGCUGUAGGCG